AUGCUGGAUAGCUUGCUGGAAAGAUUGAACAUCCACAUGCUUAGUUCAAACGACAAACUGAGAGGCAUGCCGUGCAUUAGAGUACCUGUCUCAUCUUCAAGUACGUUGGCAACCUCAGUGUCAGGCAGGGAUACUGGUGGGAACCGAACUGCCGUCUCCUUCUCUACAACCCAAAUGCAGAUUCUAACAGUGUGCUCCAGUCAAUCGCACCUGUUGAUUCACCUCCUGACAAAGGCCUCGCACGCUCUGCCCCAAGGAGGAGUGGGUCAGGUACUGUCCUCAGCCGGCUCCCAGCACGCGGCCUGUCUGCGGGGACAGCACCGGGCAAGUGAGCCGUGGGCAUUUCAUGGGUGUUCCCUUUCAACCUGGCACCGCAUGGCAACUUUUCAGAGUAGGAAGUUCCUUCCUUGCAGGCAGCUUCUCUGCUCUCAGAGCCAAACCAAGCACAACCCAGGCUUCCUUCUAGGGAAGGGCCUUUGUGGCGGCUCCGCUACUUCCUUGUCACACAGCUCCCUGUGCACAACCAGCUUCCAAACAGCUGCGGCCUUUCUUCCAUCCCCUCGGCAGCAGCGAGCCGACACCCCCGUUAGCCAAGAAAUGUCACCGCUCCGACGCCUCCCGCUGCGGGGCGAGGGCGGGGAAGGGGGGAAAAAGGGAAGGAAGAAGGGGAAGGAAGAGGCCCCGCCGCCGCCUUUUCGAGCCCCGCCACACGCGGGGGCCUCGCUCCCCGCCGGGGGCUGCGGGGGAUUCCCCUCAGCGAGAUGGCGGCAGGGCGACGGGCCGGGGCCCCGCCGAGGUGCCUCAGCCCCGGGGCCCCGCCACGGGCGCGGAGGGACGGGGCCGGGCCUCGGCGCCCCCUGGCGGGCGGCUCCGCGGCCCGGCGCUGAGGGAGCCGCGGGCGGGCUGAGGCAGCGCCGCCGUGUCCCGGCCGCGCGGAGCCCCCGGCGGCAUCGCCCCUCGAGGCCCCGGGGGAGGGACGGGGCCGGGCCCCGCUUGUGGCUCCCGCUGCGGCCGCCGCCACCCCGCGGCCGCGUUGUUCCGCACUGA
rnacentral:lncRNA from 1 species